ACGUCGUUACUCUGCCGAAAAUUUAUUUAAAAAAAAUAAAGAAGUUUUUUUUUGAAAUUUUUUAAAUAAAUUUAGCUUAAAUUGUUCGCAUUUCGUGAAAGGAUCUUUUGGAUUUUAUAUCCACAAAAUUAUCUGUAACAGGAUAAUAAAAUAAUUAACGCCAAUUUCACAAAUUUCAACUCAAAAGUAGGCAGAAAGUGUUUUUUAUUUACCCAGCGGCAACAAAAGUCAAA